rnacentral:rRNA from 1 species
UAUCUCUGUAGAGUCUGCAUAUCAAUAAGCGGAGGAAAAGAAACUAACAAGGAUUCCCCUAGUAACGGUGAGUGAAGCGGGAAGAGCUCAAAUUUGAAAUCUUCAAGGUUUGACCUUGACGAAUUGUAGUUUAAAGAAGUGUUUUCGGUUAGAGGAGUAGUAAAAGUUCUUUGGAAUAGGACAUCAUAGAGGGUGAGAAUCCCGUAUUUGACUAUUCUUUCUAGCUUUGUGAUACACUUUCAAAGAGUCGGAUUGUUUGGGAAUGCAGUCCAAAAUGGGUGGUAAAUUUCAUCUAAAGCUAAAUAUUGGCGAGAGACCGAUAGCGAACAAGUACCGUGAGGGAAAGAUGAAAAGAACUUUGAAAAGAGAGUUAAACAGUACGUGAAAUUGUCAAAAGGGAAGCGUUUGACACCAGUGUUGUUUUUCCGAAAAUCAAUUAAAAAUUGAUUCAUGCCAGGUUGUAUUGACCUUAUCAGCUUGCAAUUUGGUUUUGGGUCUCUUUUUGAUGCACUUUUCGGUUAACAAGUCAACAUCAAUUUCCUUUGCUGUAAAAAGGUAAGAGGAAGGUGGCUUCAAUUUCGGUUGAAGUAGUUUAUAGCCUUUUAUCUCUGCAGUCGGGGAGAUUGAGGUCUGCAGCGUAGAUCCUUCGGGGCUAGAUACAUUUAUGCUAAGUUAUAGCUUUUCAUAGACAACUUGUUGACUAUGUUUAGUCAUGUAGCUUACUCGUAAGUGCUAUUUUACCUACGCUUAGGAUGUUGAAGACUCUACAGAGAUA